rnacentral:rRNA from 1 species
GACGAACGCUGGCGGCGUGCUUAACACAUGCAAGUCGAACGGAAAGGCCCUGCUUUUGUGGGGUGCUCGAGUGGCGAACGGGUGAGUAACACGUGAGUAACCUGCCCUUGACCUUGGGAUAACUUCAGGAAACUGGGGCUAAUACCGGAUAGGAGCUCCUGCUGCAUGGUGGGGGUUGGAAAGUUUCGGCGGUUGGGGAUGGACUCGCGGCUUAUCAGCUUGUUGGUGGGGUAGUGGCUUACCAAGGCUUUGACGGGUAGCCGGCCUGAGAGGGUGACCGGCCACAUUGGGACUGAGAUACGGCCCAGACUCCUACGGGAGGCAGCAGUGGGGAAUAUUGCACAAUGGGCGGAAGCCUGAUGCAACAACGCCGCGUGCGGGAUGACGGCCUUCGGGUUGUAAACCGCUUUCGCCUGUGACGAAGCGUGAGUGACGGUAAUGGGUAAAGAAGCACCGGCUAACUACGUGCCAGCAGCCGCGGUGAUACGUAGGGUGCGAGCGUUGUCCGGAUUUAUUGGGCGUAAAGGGCUCGUAGGUGGUUGAUCGCGUCGGAAGUGUAAUCUUGGGGCUUAACCCUGAGCGUGCUUUCGAUACGGGUUGACUUGAGGAAGGUAGGGGAGAAUGGAAUUCCUGGUGGAGCGGUGGAAUGCGCAGAUAUCAGGAGGAACACCAGUGGCGAAGGCGGUUCUCUGGGCCUUUCCUGACGCUGAGGAGCGAAAGCGUGGGGAGCGAACAGGCUUAGAUACCCUGGUAGUCCACGCUGUAAACGGUGGGUACUAGGUGUGGGGUCCAUUCCACGGGUUCCGUGCCGUAGCUAACGCUUUAAGUACCCCGCCUGGGGAGUACGGCCGCAAGGCUAAAACUCAAAGGAAUUGACGGGGCCCCGCACAAGCGGCGGAGCAUGCGGAUUAAUUCGAUGCAACGCGUAGAACCUUACCUGGGUUUGACAUGGAUCGGGAGCGCUCAGAGAUGGGUGUGCCUCUUAUGGGGUCGGUUCACAGGUGGUGCAUGGCUGUCGUCAGCUCGUGUCGUGAGAUGUUGGGUUAAGUCCCGCAACGAGCGCAACCCUUGUUCACUGUUGCCAGCACGUUAUGGUGGGGACUCAGUGGAGACCGCCGGGGUCAACUCGGAGGAAGGUGGGGAUGACGUCAAGUCAUCAUGCCCCUUAUGUCCAGGGCUUCACGCAUGCUACAAUGGCUGGUACAGAGAGUGGCGAGCCUGUGAGGGUGAGCGAAUCUCGGAAAGCCGGUCUCAGUUCGGAUUGGGGUCUGCAACUCGACCUCAUGAAGUCGGAGUCGCUAGUAAUCGCAGAUCAGCAACGCUGCGGUGAAUACGUUCCCGGG